rnacentral:rRNA from 1 species
GUAUGAGAGGAUGAUGUAUCACACAGGUAGUAAGACACGGCCCUGACUCUUACGGGAGGCAGCAGUGGGGAAUUUGGACAAUGGGGGCAACCCUGAUCCAGCCAUGCCGCGUGAGUGAAGAAGACCUUCGGGUUGUAAAGCUCUUUCGGCGGGGAAGAAAUGGCAACGGCUAAUAUCCGUUGUUGAUGACGGUACCCGCAUAAGAAGCACCGGCUAACUACGUGCCAGCAGCCGCGGUAAUACGUAGGGUGCGAGCGUUAAUUGGAAUUACUGGGCGUAAAGCGUGCGCAGGCGGUUUCGUAAAACAGACGUGAAAUCCCCGGGCUCAACCUGGGAACUGCGUUUGUGACUGCGAGGCUAGAGUACGGCAGAGGGGGGUAGAAUUCCACGUGUAGCAGUGAAAUGCGUAGAGAUGUGGAGGAAUACCGAUGGCGAAGGCAGCCCCCUGGGUUAGUACUGACGCUCAUGCACGAAAGCGUGGGGAGCAAACAGGAUUAGAUACCCUGGUAGUCCACGCCCUAAACGAUGUCAACUAGGUGUUGGAAGGGUUAAACCUUUUAGUACCGCAGCUAACGCGUGAAGUUGACCGCCUGGGGAGUACGUCUUGCAAGGUUAAAACUCAAAGGAAUUGACGGAAUCGAAUUCCUU